rnacentral:rRNA from 1 species
GACGAACGCUGGCGGCGUGCUUAACACAUGCAAGUCGAACGAUGAAGCUGGAGCUUGCUCCGGUGGAUUAGUGGCGAACGGGUGAGUAACACGUGAGCAAUCUGCCCUUCACUCUGGGAUAACUGCGGGAAACUGUAGCUAAUACCGGAUACGAGACCUUGGGGCAUCCCAGGGUCUGGAAAGAAUUUCGGUGAAGGAUGAGCUCGCGGCCUAUCAGCUAGUUGGUGAGGUAAUGGCUCACCAAGGCGACGACGUGUAGCCGGCCUGAGAGGGUGACCGGCCACACGGGGAUUGAUACACGGCCCAGACUCCUACGGGAGGCAGCAGUGGGGAAUAUUGCACAAUGGGCGAAAGCCUGAUGCAGCAACGCCGCGUGAGGGAUGAAGGCCUUCGGGUUGUAAACCUCUUUUAGUAGGGAAGAAGCGCAAGUUACGGUACCUACAGAAAAAGCACCGGCUAACUACGUGCCAGCCGCCGCCGUAA